rnacentral:antisense_RNA from 1 species
AGCGAUGCGCAGACAUCUUUGUUGUGGGCGAAAAGAGGUGACCGUAGAGUCUCUCUCUGUUACCCAGGUUGGAGUGUGGUGGUGUGAUCUUGGCUCCCUGCAACCUCCACCUCCCGGGUUCAAGCGAUUCUCCUUCCUCAGCCUCCCAAGUAGCUGGGAUUACAGGCACCUGCCACUAUGAAGAAUGGCAUUUUUAAAAGAUGGCUUUCUUAAAAAAGGAUACUAAGUUGCUCUUCUACUCAUACCAAGUCCUGCAGACACAUUCUGGGUCUGCACCUUAUGAGUGUUGCUCAUUCUGUAUCCUGCAGAAGACAUACAGAGCUGUUCACAUAGAAGGCUAUGAUUUUGAUUCAGCAAUUCUUCAAACCACUGAUGCUGGUUGACCAUUUGACUUUGUUUUUGAAGUAUUUUUUACAUACAGUGUACAGAACAUUUCCCCUGGAUAUUUGGAUACUGAACAGGAGUAACAUGAGGAACAGCUCCUACCUCCCCUCUGCCUCUUCCCUCACAAGCCUGUGAGUCAGGGCAGGGGCAGCCACUGAAAGUAGCAGAGGCCUUCAUAAAGGAGAAGUUGCCAGGUAGACCUUUGGAUUAACUCCCCAAAAGCAGCCCCCUAGGAGACAGGCGACAGCACCGAAGUCAGGGGAUGCAGGCGUGGAGGCACUUCUCCUUGUUGCCAUCCUGUGAAGAAGGACAUAUUUGCUUCUCCUUCUGCCACGAGUGUUGAAGGCAAUGGUGAUGAAAGUAAAUAUUUAAAAACAGUACCAUAGCUGUCCCAAAUUUAAGAAAAACAAGGUACCACUGGAAACAUUAAAUUUCAUUAGAACACAGAAGAAUGACCAUUUUGUGAUCAGUUUUCUGCAUCUUUAAAAUGCCUGGAAGGUCAUCUUUAAAUGGUACAAUCUGAUAAAAGUUUAAUACUUAUUGUAGACUUAUAUGAAUACUUCUACAUUCAUACAUUUUUGUAUACUUAUACAUUUUCAUAUUCAAUGAAUGCUUAAUUCAAAAAAUAUUUGAGUAUCUGCAGUGUUCCCCAUGCUACAUACUGAGCUUAAACGGUCAAAAAGACACAGUCUUUGACCUCAAAAUACUUUGAUUCUUGUAAGAAAAACGGACAAAGACAAAGAUAAGGCAAUGUGAAAACUUCUACAGUUGGAAUAAUCUUGGAGGUUAUAGGAUGUGGACUCACUGAAAGCUUUCUGCUGGACUUGAACUUGAAGCUGCAGUCUGAAGGACAGACGGGUGUUGCUUAGAGAAGGGAAAUUAGGAAGCAAAGACCCCUGGACAGAGUGUAGCAGGCACAGAGGGAGCAUGACACCUCCGGGAGAGAGCCGCAAGCACCUAGGCCCAGAUCCCAGCUUUAGCUUCAUUAGCCCUGUGAACUCUGUAUGUCAGCCUUGACAUAGAAAAAAAGAGGAUACUAAACCUCCAUCUUAAAAGAGACUUGGAAGAAGCUGGGAUUAUAGGCACACCACCACACCUGGACCUAGAAAAGGGAACCCUUGACCUGCAAGAAUUGAGGAAUAUUGUUUCUGACAUGCUCAGUGGACCUACUGCUGGUGUUCUUAACCAUUUCCUUCCUAAGUGGAACUUCUUUUGAGGUUAAUGUUUAUAUACAAUUACUUUAACAUUGGAUUUGGGAAAUGGAACAACAUGCUGUUGAUCUUUCUGCUACUGAUGAAAGAAGAAGCCAGCAUGCUCGUUCCUGUGCAUGCUGGUGAAACACACGUGGCCUGCCCUGCCUUUCUCCAAUCUCUUUCCCGCAGCCCAGCUCAGCCCAGCCUGGUUUAAUAGCAGGGAGAGUUGGCACUGUUCACAGCUGGUUAACACCCUACUGAGCAGGUUUUGAAUGCAGAAAGACUGAGAAACCUUCGCUAUUCAUGUGAGAAAAAUAGGCUCCACAGGAUCCCUUGAUCAGGAUAGUAGUGAUCAGCACUGUAAUGAUCUGAGCCUUCUCCACCACCCCACAAAGUUUCUCAUAGGAAGCCACAUCUUACUCAUCUCUACAUUCCUAGGAGGGGGGACUAGUUCACAGUGUCGGGGAGAGGAAAGUGUCCUCUUAGUUGCCUCCUGUGACUUCAAGGGCCCAUUUGAUGAUAACAGGACACCCUCUGGACAAAGCCUGCAUAUGGAUUUGAUCAAGCAAGAGAGCUGAGGAUGAAUGCAAAAAAAAAAAAAAGUGGUCAUGAUGGCUCCUUGACCAUGAAAUAAAGGUCAUCAGUGCUCCUGGAAACUCCAGGAGCACAGAGACAGCGACAAAGCAAUGGAUAAAGGAAUUGUGGGUACCAGUGAGGUGGAAGGAUUAUGGGAUUUGGAGUCCUAGGGACAAAGAUGGAAAGACUGGAGGGUGCUUGGAGAGGAACUGUGAUUGGUAAUGUCAAGAUCAAGAGUACUGUCUUGCAGGGGAACAAGUGACAGAGGUCAAGAAGAAGAUGAGACCACUGCAAUGGUAAUUUCAUGAUAUGUACAGGUGUUGAUAAUUCCUUUGUGCUGGACAAGGUAAAACAAAGAGGGGUGAUGACUUUGAAAUGUGCUUAAUAAAAAAUUCCAGCAAUAA